AUGCUCCAUGGAAAGAGACAUGGGGGAUUAUUUGUCCUGUUCCCCAGAAGAGUACAUUUAAAAGGAGGAGGAAUUUGGAUCACUAAAAGAAAAAGAAAAAAAAGAAGGAUGAAACAGUCUCAUUGUGUCACCGAGGCUGAAGUGCAGUGGCAUAAUCAUGGCUUACUGCAGCCCCUACCUCUAGGCUCAAGCAAUCCUCCCAUCUCAGCUUCCUGUGUAGCUAGGAUGGAAAUGUUCUUUUUCUUAAAGGAUAUAUACUUUCUCCUAACCUCAGACAUCGGCAGUCUUGAUUGUCAGAACUUCAGACUCAGACUAAAUUUCCUGCUUCUGCAGCCGUCAGACAGAUUAUGGGAGUUCUUGGCCUCCAUAAUUAUAGAUUCAUGUACUCUAUGACUGUAGCGUAGAACUCUAGGAUGUCGGUCCAGUUAAUUGCAGUGCCCAGACCCACACCAUGAGUGCUGAGUGUUCACCUGACCCACAUGAGGACAGUCAAGGCUUCUCAUUCAAAGUCUGUACUUGAUGGCUGGGUGCAGUGGCUCAUGUCUGCAAUCCUAGUACUUCGGGAGGGCAAAGCAGGCAGAUCAUCUGAGGUCAGGAGUUCGAGACCAGCCUGGGUAAUAUGGUGAAACCCUGUCUCUACUAAAAAUACAAAAUUAGCUGGGUGUGGUGGCGGGCGCCUAUAAUCCUAGCUAUUUGGCAGGCUGAGGAGGGAGAAUCAGUUGAACCUGGGAGGCAGAGGUUGCACUGAGCUGAGAUUAUGCAAUUGCACUCCAGCCUACACAUGGAUAGCAGAGACUCAAUUAAUCAAUGGUUGGGGCUAGAGCAAGAAGCUGGAUAAAAGACAAAUCUUGAAACUGUUGGUUAGACGACAGUUAGUUUAACAUUUCUGAAUUAGCUAAAUGGAGGAACCAGCUAAUGGCAGUCAAUGAGCUACAGAAACUUUAUCGUUUUUAGCAAGGAAACUUUCCCAACCAGUGAGCUUCCAUCAUCAUAUAAACACAUCAAUAUUCUCUCCCCUUUCUGUUUAUAAUAUAUAGAAAAUCAUGGGUACAGGGCUACUCUCCAUUGGAACGUUGGCUAUAAUGUAUAAACAUCUAUGACUAGAUGAUGAUGUCCUUUAACUAGAGUUUGGAGAGAUGGUAUGCAUGCUACUAGGCUACUAUUCCUCUAUUUGUGUGUCUUUCCUCCCCGAAAAAACGUAUGGUGCUAGUGAUGUGUACUGAUGAAUCCUUUGCUAAACAUAGGUCUUAAGGAAACAUAGCUGUGGCAGGACUUUAUGAAAUGCAAAAUGAAAAAAAAAAAAGAGAGGC
rnacentral:lncRNA from 1 species